rnacentral:piRNA from 1 species
UCCCAAGAGGAAACGGAGAUGCAAAAUGU